rnacentral:lncRNA from 1 species
CCAGCCCUAGAGGCACGCUCACGUGCACACUCAUUCGAAUGUGCACACACACCUUGGACCUCCUUUGGCAAUGCCAGCUCUCUGCCCCUACCUAGAUGCGAGAACUUUCAAUCAUUUAAAUGAAGUAAUAAUUACAGGCAAGGUUUGGUGAGUUCUUACUAUGUGUCAGGCCUUAUCCACGCAGCUUAUGUGAAGACCACACAUGAACAUAGAAGAGGAGUGUGUGCCGUGUCUUAGUGUGUGGUGUGUGUGUGUGUGUUUUGGAGAACACGCCCAUACCUCUACUAAUCUGAACCUCACGUUAAAACUAAAUACAUAAGGAUGAGUGGUUGCUGUGCUAUUAGGAACCAUGUAACAUGUACCACUAGCUAAAUACAGAAAUUCAACCAUAGGUCUUCCUGGAACUGAUUCCAGGAUCAUCCUGAGGGCCUGUUUCCUUCAAUUCAAUGACCACGUAAUUACUUGAAACUCCCAGAGAUGGAUCAGGUGAGGGACAAGGAGACGGCAGGAUCCCAGAGCAGGAUUCUGACUCGAGGCAUCCGAUUUCAGGAUAUUUCUCUAGGAACUGCGCACGAGCUGCGGCGGUACAUGAAAGAGCCAAGCCAUGCCCGUGCCUUCCAGAUGCUGUCCAGUUGGAGAACUGAGACCCAAGCCCACCUGGAUGUUGCAGCCUGCAAUUGAUGAGUUGGGUGGGGCAGUAAAUACUGCAGGAAUUCAGGCACAGCUGGCCCUGGUAAAGGCUAGAAUAAUCUAGAACAACCUCAGGGACGGGGUGGGACCUGAACUGGCCUCUGAAGAAUCCGCAGAACCCUGGAAACUGGGAGCAUGACCCCUGGAAACAGACAAGGCUAGCUCAGGACCCCUGUCUGUUCCUCUGUUUACUGGACCCUUGGAUGGAAUACUGGAGCCUCUAAGUCUUCAUUUUACCAUCUGUGAGACAGUGACCGUGAUAGGACCUACCUUAUGGAGAGGAUGAGAAUUAAAUUGCCCCCCGCCCCCGGUAGUGGGCGCUCAAUCUACGCAAGCUGUCAGCGUAAGUGCAAGGGAAAAGGAGGGGGAGGAAGGCGCAGAGGGUGGGGGUUCUGAACUGUGGCCACAGGAAACGGACACUUGUAUCCAAGAAUAUCCGCCUUCAGUACAAUUUCCUCUUCAGUCUUCACCUGCUUGGAUGAGCUGCAAGCACAACGUGGAACCUCAAAAGAAACUCGAUUAAAAAACUACGAGGUUGGGAGUUCCCGUCGUGGCGCAGUGGUUAACGAAUCCGACUAGGAACCAUGAGGUUGCGGGUUCGGUCCCUGCCCUUGCUCAGUGGGUUAACGAUCCGGCGUUGCCGUGAGCUGUGGUGUAGGUUGCAGACGCGGCUCGGAUCCCGCGUUGCUGUGGCGCUGGUGUAGGCCGGUGGCUACAGCUCCGAUUGGAGCCCUAGCCUGGGAACCUCUAUAUGCCGCGGGAGCGGCCCAAGAAAUAGCAAAAAGACAAAAAACAAAAACAAAAAGAAAAAACAAAAAACUACGAGGUUGGAUUAGGGUUAGGGUUAGGGUUAGUGGCAGGUUCAGGAUCUGGCAUUGUCACUGCUGUAGCUCUGGUUACAGCUGUGGUGUAGGUUUGAUCCCUGACCCGGGAACUUCUGCAUGCCAUGGGUGAGGUCAAAGGGGGAAAAAACAGAGGAGGUUUGGUUUUAUUCACGUUCAGGCUCAGUUCCUUUCCUCUCCUGUCCCAAGGUCACUCUCGGUGACCGAGGGUAAAGAAGAGAGACUGAGGCUGAGGUCAACAGGUAACCCACCAAGCAGGUGGUGAGGGCGGAAUGCAGAGGGUCGGUGGUGCCCCCUGGGUUACAGAGAUGGG